rnacentral:rRNA from 1 species
UAAGGGGGUGGCUUCCAUCUGGAAGAAUCUGGAGACAGGUGCUGCAUGGCUGUCGUCAGCUCGUGUCGUGAGAUGUUGGGUUAAGUCCCGCAACGAGCGCAACCCUUGCCUUUAGUUGCCAGCAGUUCGGCUGGGCACUCUAAAGGGACUGCCGGUGUUAAACCGGAGGAAGGUGGGGAUGACGUCAAGUCCUCAUGGCCUUUAUGACCAGGGCUACACACGUACUACAAUGGCCGAUACAAAGGGCAGCGACACUGCGAGGUGAAGCCAAUCCCGUAAAAAUCGGUCUCAGUCCGGAUUGGAGUCUGCAACUCGACUCCAUGAAGUUGGAAUCGCUAGUAAUCGUGGAUCAGCAUGCCACGGUGAAUACGUUCCCGGGCCUU